AUGUCAGAAGAAAUGGCAAUGCCGGGACGAUCCCGUGUAAUUGGAGAUUCGUCGCAGUCUGACCAAGAAACCAGUAUUGACCACAGCACGCACAUGUCGGUUGAUGAGCUGCUCAAGGCAAUAAAAGGAGCCAAUGGCAUGCCGGUGCUCUUAGUCCCUUCUAGCAAUGGGCGGUUGACGGUGGUAGCCGUGAAUGGCCUUCAGAAUCUGGUGCUUACCAACCACGACAACAAGGGAUCUGCCAAAACGAGGCAGCAGAAUUUCCGCGCCUGGCUGCUGUUCCUGGCGUCACUAGUUGCCACUGUCACUUUCACCGCGGGGCUCACCCCACCUGGAGGUUUCUGGUCCGAUGACAACGGACACCGUGCUGGUGACCCAAUUAUGCGUGACAAAUUUCCUACAAGGUAUCGCAUAUAUGUGAAAAGCAACAUGACGGCCUUCUGCUUCUCCUUGGUCAUCAUUGGACUACUCGCCAAUAACCCAGCUAACAGGGCGAACAGAUUCGUGAGAAAUUUUUAUUUCCCAUUUUUGGUACUUAUUUGUCUUCUGAGCUUGAUGAUUAGCUUCAUCAGCGGCACGUGGAACUACUCUAGUGCUGAUUUCAGCUCAUGUUUUAUGUUUGGAGUCGCCCUUUUCCAAUUAGCCUGUUUUUGGGCUUUGGGUUUCGUACACAAAAUUCGAAGGCCCAUGCAACCCACGGAAUCCUCCGCUUAA
rnacentral:rRNA from 1 species